rnacentral:miRNA from 1 species
UGUUUGUGUAGUGUGUGUAUAUAAUGCAGUGUGUUUGUGUAGUGUGUAUAUAAUGCAGUGUGUUUGUAUAGUGUGUAUAUAAUGCAGUGUGUUUAUAUGAUGCACACUACACAAACACACUGCAUUAUAUGCACACACUACACAAAC